UUCAAGUCUUUAAGAGCAAACGGUGAAUGCCUUGGCAUCUGGAGCCGAAGAAGGACGUAGCAAUCUGCGAUAAGCCUCGGGGAACUGAUAAGCAAGUUUUGAUCCGAGGGUGUCCGAAUGGGGAAACCCCGCUGGGCGGCGUGCCGACCUAGUGACUCCCGCCUGAAUAUAUAGGGCGGGUAGAGGGAACGUGGGGAAGUGAAACAUCUCAGUACCCACAGGAAGAGAAAGCAACCGCGAUUCCGUUAGUAGUGGCGAGCGAAACCGGAACAGGCUAAACCGAGUACGUGUGAUAUCCGGCAGGAGUUGCGUAUUCGGGGUUGUGGGACUUUUCAGACAGUUCUGCCGAUCUGUCGGCGUUACAAGAAGGUAUAGACGAAUGGCUUUGAAUGGCCAGUCAUAGAGGGUGCGAACCCCGUAGUCGAAAUGCCUCUCUUGACGCGAAGAGUAUCCCAAGUAGCACGGGGCCCGAGAAAUCCCGUGUGAAUCUGUCAGGACCACCUGAUAAGCCUAAAUACUCCCAGAUGACCGAUAGCGGACAAGUACCGUGAGGGAAAGGUGAAAAGUACCCCGGGAGGGGAGUGAAAUAGUACCUGAAACCGUUUGCUUACAAACCGUUGGAGCCUCCUUAGUAGGGGUGACAGCGUGCCUUUUGAAGAAUGAGCCUGCGAGUUAGCGAUACGUGGCGAGGUUAACCCGUGAGGGGUAGCCGUAGCGAAAGCGAGUCUGAAUAGGGCGAUUCAGUCGCGUGUCCUAGACCCGAAGCGAAGUGAUCUAUCCAUGGCCAGGUUGAAGCGACGGUAAGACGUCGUGGAGGACCGAACCCACUUAGGUUGAAAACUGAGGGGAUGAGCUGUGGAUAGGGGUGAAAGGCCAAUCAAACUUCGUGAUAGCUGGUUCUCUCCGAAAUGCAUUUAGGUGCAGCGUUGCGUGUUUCUUGCCGGAGGUAGAGCUACUGGAUGGCCGAUGGGCCCUACAAGGUUACUGACGUCAGCCAAACUCCGAAUGCCGGUAAGUGAGAGCGCAGCAGUGAGACUGUGGGGGAUAAGCUUCAUAGUCGAGAGGGAAACAACCCAGACCACCAUCUAAGGUCCCUAAGCGCGUGCUAAGUGGGAAAGGAUGUGGAGUUGCCUUGACAACCAGGAGGUUGGCUUAGAAGCAGCCACCCUUGAAAGAGUGCGUAAUAGCUCACUGGUCAAGUGAUUCCGCGCCGACAAUGUAACGGGGCUCAAGCACGCCACCGAAGCUGUGGCAUUAGCAUUAUAGGUAGGCCUUCGUGGUCCAGCCGUGUUGAUGGGUAGGAGAGCGUCGUGUGGCCAGCGAAGCGGCGGUGUGAACCAGCCGUGGAGGCUACACGAGUGAGAAUGCAGGCAUGAGUAGCGAAAGACGUGUGAGAAACACGUCCUCCGAAAGACCAAGGGUUCCAGGGUCAAGCUAAUCUUCCCUGGGUAAGUCGGGACCUAAGGCGAGGCCGACAGGCGUAGUCGAUGGACAACGGGUUGAUAUUCCCGUACCGGCGAAGAACCGCCCAAGCUAAUCCAGUAGUGCUAAGUGUCUGAAUCCCAGUGACUGAUCCCUUCGGGGUGACGCUCUGGGCCUAGCGCACGAACCCGUUCUGGUGCGGUUAGCGUAUUAACAGGUGUGACGCAGGAAGGUAGCCCAAGCCAGGCGAUGGUUGUCCUGGUGCAAGUGCGUAGGCCGAGUGAUAGGCAAAUCCGUCACUCAUUAAGGCUGAGACACGAUGCGGAUAAAAAGUGGGUGAUCCUAUGCUGCCAAGAAAAGCAUCGACGCGAGGUUCUAGCCGCCCGUACCCCAAACCGACUCAGGUGGUCAGGUAGAGAAUACCAAGGAGAUCGAGAGAAUCGUGGUUAAGGAACUCGGCAAAAUGCCCCCGUAACUUCGGGAGAAGGGGGGCCUUCGACGUAUUAGGACUUGCUCCGAAAGCGUUUGGAGGCCGCAGAGACUAGUGGGUAGCGACUGUUUACUAAAAACACAGGUCCGUGCCAAGUCGCAAGACGAUGUAUACGGACUGACGCCUGCCCGGUGCUGGAAGGUUAAGAGGAGAGGUUAGCUUCGGCGAAGCUUUGAAUUUAAGCCCCAGUAAACGGCGGUGGUAACUAUAACCAUCCUAAGGUAGCGAAAUUCCUUGUCGGGUAAGUUCCGACCUGCACGAAUGGCGUAACGACUUCCCAACUGUCUCAACCGCGAACUCGGCGAAAUUGCAUUACGAGUAAAGAUGCUCGUUACGCGCAGCAGGACGGAAAGACCCCGUGACCUUUACUAUAGCUUUGUAUUGGUGUUCGGUGUGGCUUGUGUAGGAUAGGUGGGAGACUUUGAAGCUUGGACGCUAGUUCAGGUGGAGUCGUUGUUGAAAUACCACUCUGGUCACUCUGGAUAUCUAACUUCGAACCGUAAUCCGGUUCAGGGACAGUGCAUGGUGGGUAGUUUAACUGGGGCGGUUGCCUCCCAAAAAGUAACGGAGGCGCCCAAAGGUUCCCUCAACCUGGUUGGCAAUCAGGUGGCGAGUGUAAGUGCACAAGGGAGCUUGACUGUGAGACUGACAGGUCGAGCAGGGACGAAAGUCGGGACUAGUGAUCCGGCAGUGGCUUGUGGAAGCGCUGUCGCUCAACGGAUAAAAGGUACCUCGGGGAUAACAGGCUGAUCUUGCCCAAGAGUCCAUAUCGACGGCAUGGUUUGGCACCUCGAUGUCGGCUCGUCGCAUCCUGGGGCUGGAGUAGGUCCCAAGGGUUGGGCUGUUCGCCCAUUAAAGCGGUACGCGAGCUGGGUUUAGAACGUCGUGAGACAGUUCGGUCCCUAUCCGCUGCGCGCGUAGGAAGUUUGAGAGGAUCUGACCCUAGUACGAGAGGACCGGGUUGGACGAACCUCUGGUGUGUCAGUUGUUCCGCCAGGAGCACCGCUGAUUAGCUACGUUCGGGAUGGAUAACCGCUGAAAGCAUCUAAGCGGGAAGCCGGCCUCAAGAUGAGACUUCCAUGCCUUCGGGCGAGAGGCUCCCAGCCAGACUACUGGGUUGAUAGGCCAGAUGUGGAAGCACGGUAACGUGUGCAGCUGACUGGUACUAAUAAGCCGAUGACUUGAUAACACACC
rnacentral:rRNA from 2 species